rnacentral:rRNA from 1 species
GUCCACGCCCUAAACGAUGUCAACUGGUUGUUGGGUCUCUUCUGACUCAGUAACGAAGCUAACGCGUGAAGUUGACCGCCUGGGGAGUACGGCCGCAAGGUUGAAACUCAAAGGAAAUUGACGGGGACCCGGCACAAGCGGUGGAUGAUGUGGUUUAAUUCGAUGCAACGCGAAAACCUUAACCCACCUUUGACAUGUACGGAAUUUGCCAGAGAUGGCUUAGUGCUCGAAAGAGAGCCGUAACACAGGUGCUGCAUGGCUGUCGU